CAGUAGCCGCGGUAAUACGUAGGGUGCAAGCGUUAAUCGGAAUUACUGGGCGUAAAGCGUGCGCAGGCGGUUAUAUAAGACAGAUGUGAAAUCCCCGGGCUCAACCUGGGAACUGCAUUUGUGACUGUAUAGCUAGAGUACGGCAGAGGGGGAUGGAAUUCCGCGUGUGGCAGUGAAAUGCGUAGAUAUGCGGAGGAACACCGAUGGCGAAGGCAAUCCCCUGGGCCUGUACUGACGCUCAUGCACGAAAGCGUGGGGAGCAAACAGGAUUAGAUACCCGGGUAGUCCCUGUCUCUUAUAC
rnacentral:rRNA from 1 species